UACAGAGGGGGGCAAGCGUUGUUCGGAAUUACUGGGCGUAAAGGGCGCGUAGGCGGCCUACUAAGUCGGGACGUGAAAUCCCUCGGCUCAACCGGGGAACUGCGUCCGAUACUGGUGGGCUCGAAUCCGGGAGAGGGAUGUGGAAUUCCAGGUGUAGCGGUGAAAUGCGUAGAUAUCUGGAGGAACACCGGGUGGCGAAGGCGGCAUCCUGGACCGGUAUUGACGCUGAUGCGCGAAAGCCAGGGGAGCAAACGGG
rnacentral:rRNA from 1 species